AUUGAACGCUGGCGGCAUGCCUUACACAUGCAAGUCGAACGGCAGCACGGGAGCAAUCCUGGUGGCGAGUGGCGAACGGGUGAGUAAUAUAUCGGAACGUGCCCGGUCGUGGGGAUAACGUAGCGAAAGCUACGCUAAUACCGCAUACGAUCUACGGAUGAAAGCGGGGGGAUCGCAAGACCUCGCGCGAUUGGAGCGGCCGAUAUCAGAUUAGGUAGUUGGUGAGGUAAAGGCUCACCAAGCCGACGAUCUGUAGCUGGUCUGAGAGGACGACCAGCCACACUGGGACUGAGACACGGCCCAGACUCCUACGGGAGGCAGCAGUGGGGAAUUUUGGACAAUGGGCGCAAGCCUGAUCCAGCAAUGCCGCGUGCA
rnacentral:rRNA from 1 species